rnacentral:lncRNA from 1 species
CUAGUGGGAAUUAUACCCUCCCUCAGGCGGCCCCACCUCUCUGCCCCCAAGGGAGGUGGCCGAUGGGUGUGGGAGUGAGUGCAGGGGGCGAGGUGUCCUCCAAGGGGUAGGGCCUGGUGGAGAGGCACCUAACACCAGGGGGGACUGGGCAGCACAAGAACUGCCUCCUGCUCAGUGCUCAGGACAGAGAAGCUGGACUCCCGGGUUCCGUUCCCAGCUCUGCUGCUGACCGGCUGCCUGAGCUGGCCUGAGUCAUUUCUGCUCAUUGCGCCUCAGUUUCCCCACCAACUCAGGGGGCGGAACAGCAGCCGAAGUGCCUCUCCAGAUCCUGGGGGGAAGGAAGAGCUGCUGGCGUGUGCAGCAUUCGCCGGGGCCGUGGCAGCAGACAGAUGAAAUCACACGCCAGGGGUCAGCAUUGCGUAGCGAUGAGGGCACCAGGCUGGCGCUCAGGGGAGCGGGGCCCAUUCCUAGCUCUGCUGGGUGACCUGGGCCAGGCUGAUAAGACUCGUCCAUUUCAGGGGAGGGGCGAGGAUGAGUUGAGGACCGCACCCUCCCCAGUUCUAAAGCCUGGGAGACAAAGGGGGUCGGGGGCUAGAACACCCCCAGUGUGCGGCCCCAGCGAUCCCCAUCCAGGCAGGGGUCGCACAGGAAUGCUCGUUACUACACACCCCGGUUCUGUUUUGUCAGGACAUUUAUUGGUGCUGCGAGCACAGGGCCCUGCGGUCCUGGUGCCGAGAGCUCCCUGGGGCAGGCCUGGAUGGCCAUGGCACUGGAGCACGGGGCUCAUUCAUUUCUCCAGCGCCCCGGGGCCAACGGGCACUAGAGCCGAGAUGCCUGACGCAGCCCGGCGCCGAGGGGGCGGUUCCACCAUGCGUGUAGGGCAGAUCCAAUGGGGUUCGGCCGGUUCCCCCACCCAGGACACAGGGCGUCCCCUAAAGGGCUCAGUGGCACAUUCCUGCCUGGGUGGAGGUAAGGGCCCAUGGGAACCUCUCAGGGACCAGCCCAAUCCCGGUGCCCUCUGGCCACCGCCCCAGCUGCCAGGUCCCGUGCUGUGUGCUGGCCAACAGCCUGGCACCUUCAACCAGCCACAGAGCUCCCUUAAACAAGACAGUCUGCCUGGGUGUGAGCCCCCCGUGGGAACUGAGCCAGAACAGGGAGCAGCUCAGCUACCCAUAGAACGGAGGAUAGGGGACCCCAGGAGGUGGGAGUUGGGGGAAUGGGGGACCCUGGGGGCAUGGAAGUCAGGGGGCAGGUUGACGGGGGAGUCAGGGGGAAUGGGGGCAGGGAGACCCUAGGGGGAUGGG